UACAGAGGUCCCAAGCGUUGUUCGGAUUUAUUGGGCGUAAAGGGUGCGUAGGCGGCGGAGUAAGUUGGGUGUGAAAUCCCGGGGCUCAACCUCGGAAUUGCAUUCAAUACUGCUUCGCUAGAGUACUGGAGAGGAGGCUGGAAUUUACGGUGUAGCAGUGAAAUGCGUAGAUAUCGUAAGGAAGGCCGGUGGCGAAAGCGAGCCUCUGGACAGUUACUGACGCUGAUGCACGAAGGCCAGGGGAGCAAGCAGG
rnacentral:rRNA from 1 species